AAAUUGAAGAGUUUGAUCAUGGCUCAGAUUGAACGCUGGCGGCAGGCCUAACACAUGCAAGUCGAACGGUAACAGGAAACAGCUUGCUGUUUCGCUGACGAGUGGCGGACGGGUGAGUAAUGUCUGGGAAACUGCCUGAUGGAGGGGGAUAACUACUGGAAACGGUAGCUAAUACCGCAUAACGUCGCAAGACCAAAGAGGGGACCCUCGGGCCUCUUGCCAUCGGAUGUGCCCAGAUGGGAUUAGCUUGUUGGUGGGGUAACGGCUCACC
rnacentral:rRNA from 1 species